rnacentral:rRNA from 1 species
AUUGAACGCUGGCGGCAUGCCUUACACAUGCAAGUCGAACGGCAGCACGGGAGCAAUCCUGGUGGCGAGUGGCGAACGGGUGAGUAAUAUAUCGGAACGUGCCCAGUCGUGGGGGAUAACGCAGCGAAAGCUGCGCUAAUACCGCAUACGAUCUAUGAAUGAAAGCGGGGGAUCGCAAGACCUCGCGCGAUUGGAGCGGCUGAUAUCAGAUUAGGUAGUUGGUGGGGUAAAAGCUUACCAAGCCUACGAUCUGUAGCUGGUCUGAGAGGACGACCAGCCACACUGGGACUGAGACACGGCCCAGACUCCUACGGGAGGCAGCAGUGGGGAAUUUUGGACAAUGGGCGCAAGCCUGAUCCAGCCAUGCCGCGUGCAGGAUGAAGGCCUUCGGGUUGUAAACUGCUUUUGUACGGAACGAAACGGCUCUUUCUAAUACAGAGGGCUAAUGACGGUACCGUAAGAAUAAGCACCGGCUAACUACGUGCCAGCCGCCGCUGUAAUAC